AGGUAAGCUACUAAGAGCGAAUGGUGGAUGCCUUGACUGGUAAAGGCGAUGAAGGACGUACUAGACUGCGAUAAGCUACGGGGAGCUGUCAAGAAGCUUUGAUCCGUAGAUUUCCGAAUGGGGCAACCCAAUGUAUAGAGAUAUACAUUACCUAUAUAGGAGCGAACGAGGGGAAUUGAAACAUCUUAGUACCCUCAGGAAAAGAAAUCAAUAGAGAUUGCGUCAGUAGCGGCGAGCGAAAGCGCAAGAGGGCAAACCCAGUGCUUGCACUGGGGGUUGUAGGACUGCAAUGUGCAAGAGGUAAGUUUAGCAGAACAUUCUGGAAAGUAUAACCAUAGAGGGUGAUAGUCCCGUAUGCGAAAAACAAACCUUAGCUAGCAGUAUCCUGAGUAGGGCGGGACACGAGGAAUCCUGUCUGAAUCCGGGUCGACCACGAUCCAACCCUAAAUACUAAUACCAGAUCGAUAGUGCACAAGUACCGUGAGGGAAAGGUGAAAAGAACUGAGGUGAUCAGAGUGAAAUAGAACCUGAAACCAUUUGCUUACAAUCAUUCAGAGCCCUAUGUAGCAAUACAGGGUGAUGGACUGCCUUUUGCAUAAUGAGCCUGCGAGUUGUGGUGUCUGGCAAGGUUAAGCAAACGCGAAGCCGUAGCGAAAGCGAGUCUGAAUAGGGCGCUUAGUCAGAUGCUGCAGACCCGAAACGAAGUGAUCUAUCCAUGAGCAAGUUGAAGCUAGUGUAAGAACUAGUGGAGGACUGAACCCAUAGGCGUUGAAAAGCCCCGGGAUGACUUGUGGAUAGGGGUGAAAGGCCAAUCAAACUUCGUGAUAGCUGGUUCUCUCCGAAAUAUAUUUAGGUAUAGCGUUGUGUCGUAAUAUAAGGGGGUAGAGCACUGAAUGGGCUAGGGCAUACACCAAUGUACCAAACCCUAUCAAACUCCGAAUACCUUAUAUGUAAUCACAGCAGUCAGGCGGCGAGUGAUAAAAUCCGUCGUCAAGAGGGAAACAACCCAGACUACCAGCUAAGGUCCCUAAAUCUUACUUAAGUGGAAAACGAUGUGAAGUUACUUAAACAACCAGGAGGUUGGCUUAGAAGCAGCCAUCCUUUAAAGAAAGCGUAAUAGCUCACUGGUCUAGUGAUUUUGCGCGGAAAAUAUAACGGGGCUAAAGUAAGUACCGAAGCUGUAGACUUAGUUUACUAAGUGGUAGGAGAGCGUUCUAUUUGCGUCGAAGGUAUACCGGUAAGGAGUGCUGGAGCGAAUAGAAGUGAGCAUGCAGGCAUGAGUAGCGAUAAUUAAUGUGAGAAUCAUUAACGCCGUAAACCCAAGGUUUCCUACGCGAUGCUCGUCAUCGUAGGGUUAGUCGGGUCCUAAGUCGAGUCCGAAAGGGGUAGACGAUGGCAAAUUGGUUAAUAUUCCAAUACCAACAUUAGUGUGCGAUGGA
rnacentral:rRNA from 1 species